rnacentral:misc_RNA from 1 species
UUUAAUUUUCCGCGUGUAAAAUCUAACUCAUUUCGUCAAAUAGCUUGUUUAUGCCGGUGCUGUACCUACAUGUGUGUUCGAAUGCCAUAUUCCCCAUAACCAUCUGUUUUCACACUCAACGUGGCUAUCUAAGAAUGGACAAAAUCAUUAACACUUAAUCUCCUGAAACAGUCAUAACUCAUUUAGAAUUAGAGUUCUGAGACACUGCUACGAUGCUAAUAAGGGCCUUUUUUGUGUGUUUUUGACGACCGUUAACAAUCUCGCGUCAUACAAGCCAUCAGCCCUAUUUAAGCAAAAAAUCCGUGAAUUCUUGUCAUUGUGUGUAUAGUUUUUGAGCUGUUAGUGGCUCAUUAGUUUUUUGGUUUCGUCCGAAGUCAGGACGCUUCGACGCUUCAGUUAAAGUUCUUUGUGUUCGUGCUAAAAUCUCACGUAAUAUUACACGUGAGUCCGAGGGAUAUAUUCCAAUCUUGACCAUUUUUCGACAACAGCAACCCCCAGCAGGCUGGAUACCGGCUAUUCAUUGUUCAUCUUUAAAGUCGCCGCAAGACGACUAGCCAUCCACCCUUCAAACAUAAAGGGUCGUUUAAACACAGCGAUAAAUCAAACAACUUAUCAAGGUCAAUCGAGUUGUUGCAACUUAUCAUUGUGUGUAAACGGUGCAUCGCACAACUUAUCAAAGUUGGAGUUGGGUUGAAGGUGGUAUCGCAUUGAAUCGCAGCGUCUAAACAGUGUUUCAACUUGUCAUCACAACUAGUUGCUGUGACUUAUCGUUGUGUUUAAACGACGCUUAAGGUCAGUCAGUAAUUUAUUUUGUGUCGCGUGCCAUCUAAAUAAACAGAUGAGGCACUUUGAGUUGUUUGAUCUGAAAUCGUGCCAAUGACCUAUUGAGUGUUAGGAGAUUCCUUUACGUGAUUAAAGAACUUUCUUUAUUUUUGCAAAUAUAGUUCCAUUGUGAACUAUUAACGGACAAUUUUUUUAUUUAAAACAUUUUUUUGUGUAUUUUUUGUAAAUAUAUAAAUAAUAGGUUAUUGUAGAGUAAAACGAAACAUGAAAAGCUUUUUAUUGGUUUCACAGUGGACAAUGGUCUAAUUAACUUCAUUCAUAAAAUUUAGCUUAUUUAGACAUUAUCUUUCAUUUUUUUAAAGUUUCUUAAAUAUUGCGUUUGAUCAGUUAGUACAAUUAGAGACCACGGUCCCAUUAAUAGGAUAGUAUACAUAAUGCAUGAUAUUCUGUAAACACCGUCAAGAGUAGGGACAUGUAAUAUAUUAUAAUAUAUAUUAAAACUAUUUAGUAUCGUAAAUAAAGUUUUUUUGAGA